GUGUAAUCCACGGCGAAAGGCCCUGUACAGCGCUAUUUCUCCUGCCAUGGAGGUGGUAAAGAGCCUGGCAGCCCUGCUGAAGGAUUCAACAGCUUCUCUCAUUGAGAAGGAGGAGGAUCAUGUCCAGCCAGCCUUCCCUGUGAUGCAAGUCAGGGGAGGGGCCUCAAGUUCACCACUCACAGUGGUGCUG
rnacentral:lncRNA from 1 species